ACCGCUUCUUGGCCUUUUGGCUAAGAUCAAGUGUAGAAAAGAUUUACUAUUCUCAGUUUGGAAAAAAAUUAAACAUUCUUUGAAGGGUUAAUAAACUUUAAAAUCAGGUUGAGACAUAAUGUACGUACA
ensembl:snRNA U2 U2 spliceosomal RNA